UUUGAACUUCAUCAUAUGUUAUUACAUGAUUCAACUAUGCAUUAAAACAGUAUUUUCAAAUUUUUUGAAUUUUUCUCAAAAUCUAUGUGUACCCCCUACGAAAAUAGUGAAUUUUUGGUAAAUGCUCUAUAUAUGAAGCCUAUAAUCUUUUAAUUCGUUUUAAAUUUAUAACCACAUUAUAUAUUUGUAUUAAUUUGUGAUAAACUCUUUUUCAUGGUACAUGUAAAUCGUUCUAAUUUUUUAUCAAUUAAUUUAGCAAAACUGCAAAUACUCCCUAAAUCAUUAGACUAACCACUAUAAAAUUGCUAUUCCCUAGAGAAACGGAGACAAAAUUUAGUAAAACUGUAAAUAAUCCCUAAAACAUUGGACUAACCACUAUAAAAUUGAUAUUCCUUAGAGAAACGGAAAUAACAAAGGUUCCAAACCUCUUUGAACUUUAUCAUAUUUUAUUACAUGAUUCAAAUAUGUAUUAAAACAGU
rnacentral:lncRNA from 1 species